rnacentral:rRNA from 1 species
AUAAUACUAGAUAAGUUAGUAGUAGCAUUACUAAGUAAUGAAAGGUAGCAUACGCUAUAUGAGAGCUUUUGCAUCCUAUUAGCUAGUUGGUGGGGUAAAGCCCUACCCAAGGCGAUGAUAGGUAGCCGGCCUGAGAGGGUGGACGGCCACAAGGGGACUGAGAUACGGCCCUUACUCCUACGGGGAGGCAGCAGUGGGGAAUAUUGGACAAUGGAGGCAACUCUGAUCCAGCAAUUCUGUGUGUGUGAAGAAGGUUUUAGGACUGUAAAACACUUUUAGUAGGGGAAGAAAGAAAUGACGGUACCUACAGAAGAAGCGACGGCUAAAUACGUGCCAGCAGCCGCGGUAAU